CCUACGGGUGGCAGCAGUGAGGAAUAUUGGUCAAUGGGCGGAAGCCUGAACCAGCCAAGUAGCGUGCAGGAUGACGGUCCUAUGGAUUGUAAACCUCUUUUGUCGGGGAACAAAGGCGCCCACGGGUAGGCGGAUGAGUGUACCCGAAGAAAAAGCAUCGGCUAACUCCGUGCCAGCAGCCGCGGUAAUACGGGGGGUGCGAGCGUUGUCCGGAAUCAUUGGGCGUAAAGGGUUCGUAGGCGGUAAGGUAAGUCUGAUGUGAAAGCCCGGGGCUCAACGCCGGUUCGGCCUUGGAUACUAUUUGGCUAGAAUGUGGUAGAGGUAAACGGAAUUCCUGGUGUAGCGGUGAAAUGCGUAGAUAUCAGGAGGAACAUCGGUGGCGAAAGCGCUUUACUGGACCAUUAUUGACGCUGAGGAACGAAAGCCAGGGGAGCAAAUGGGAUUAGAUACCCUUGUAGUC
rnacentral:rRNA from 1 species